rnacentral:misc_RNA from 1 species
GUAGGUGAACCUGCGGAGGGAUCAUUACCGAGUGAGGGCCUCCGGGCUCGACCUCCAACCCUUUGUCGUUACAACCACGUUGCCUCGGGGGCGACCCGGCCUUCGCGUCGGGGCCCCCGGUGGACCCAACCAUUAAACUCUGCGUCUUUGCGUCGGAGUCAUAAAGUAAAUCAAUUAAAACUUUCAACAACGGAUCUCUUGGUUCUG